rnacentral:rRNA from 1 species
GAUGAACGCUGGCGGCGUGCCUAAUACAUGCAAGUCGAGCGAAUGGAUUAAGAGCUUGCUCUUAUGAAGUUAGCGGCGGACGGGUGAGUAACACGUGGGUAACCUGCCCAUAAGACUGGGAUAACUCCGGGAAACCGGGGCUAAUACCGGAUAACAUUUUGAACCGCAUGGUUCGAAAUGGAAAGGCGGCUUCGGCUGUCACUUAUGGAUGGACCCGCGUCGCAUUAGCUAGUUGGUGAGGUAACGGCACACCAAGGCAACGAUGCGUAGCCGACCUGAGAGGGUGAUCGGCCACACUGGGACUGAGACACGGCCCAGACUCAUACGGGAGGCAGCAGUAGGGAAUCUUCCGAAAUGGACGAAAGUCUGACGGAGCAACGCCGCGUGAGUGAUGAAGGCUUUCGGGUCGUAAAACUCUGUUGUUAGGGAAGAACAAGUGCUAGUUGAAUAAGCUGGCACCUUGACGGUACCUAACCAGAAAGCCACGGCUAACUACGUGCCAGCCGCCGCCGUAA